CGUUUGCCGUGAAAACCUGCGGCUUAACCGUGGGCGUGCGGUGGAUACGGGCACACUUGAGUUCGGUAGGGGAGACUGGAAUUCCUGGUGUAGCGGUGGAAUGCGCAGAUAUCAGGAGGAACACCAGUGGCGAAGGCGGGUCUCUGGGCCGAAACUGACGCUGAGGUUCGAAAGCGUGGGGAGCGAACAGGAUUA
rnacentral:rRNA from 1 species